UGAAUCUCUCAUCCUCCUCCUCUCGAAGAAAACCCUAGCUCAAAAGAAUUUCUACCCCUUCUUCUUCCACUUACAGAUCGGCCAUGGCUUCAACUGAAAUCAGUAGCCGCUUCGUUUUGUUUUAAUAACCCUAAAUUUAGAAUCUAAAAUUUCAAAACAUGAAGGAGCUGCAAACCCUAGAAUAUCUUUUUUCCUUAGGGCUUCCACAAACUCCAGUUUCGCAGCCAUGGUUUGAAGAGGAUAUUUGCAAGUACUGUCUGCUCAACAAGGUCAAGUGGCACAACCUUUGAAUGCUCAAUCUGAGAAUGAAAAUGAUAUAGAUCCUGAAUUCCUAGCAGCCCUCCCUCCAGAUAUCCCUGCAGAGGUUUUAGCACAGCAGCAUGCUCAGAUAUUGCACCAAUCCCAGGAACUGGAAGGGCAACCUGUUAAAAUGGACCCCGCUUCCAUUAUUGCCACAUUCCCUACUGAAUUAAGAGAAGAGGUGCUAUUGACAUCAUCUGAUGCUGUUCUUGCCAAUCUAACCCCUGCCCUUGUUGCGGAGGCAACUAUGUUACGAGAAAGAGUGGCAAAUCGUUACCAUGGUCGUACACUUUUUGGUAUGUAUCCUAGAAACCGCAGAGGAGAAUCGUCUAAAAGGGGUGAUUCUCUUGGAUCGAGUAUGGACAGAGCUGGUGGGAACCUCGCUUCCCGCAGAUCCGUAGGUGGGAAAUUAAUCGAAGCUGAAGGGGCACCUUUAGUUGACACAGAAGCUUUAAAGGCAUUGAUACGGUUGCUUCGUAUUGUCCAGCCCAUCUAUAAAGGUCCCUAUGUGCUCAUCGUGAGACUAGAGCUGGGUUGGUGCAAAUUCUGAUGGAUAUGCUGAUGCUUGAUACAGGCAAGCCUGUCCAUCAAUUAAGUGAUGGGCCAGAGCCCUCAUAUAGGCUGUAUUCUUGCCAGAGUUAUGUUAUGUACUCUCGCCCUCAAUUUUUAGAUGGCACAAAUGAGGGAACAAGCUGGGUUGGAUGAUAAUAGGUACUUGAAACAGCAUCACGUAAUGGUAUUAUGAUGCCCGUACACGAUCAAGCUUGGAAUCUUACGCUAUCACAUCUCCAGCAAGGGGAGCCAGUUCACAAUGUCGAUGAAGAAAUCUUCUUGCACGUUACAUAGAGGUAUAAGACUGAUGAUGCUGGGAUGCCAGUAGAUAUAAAGCAGGGAUAACAUCUAUAUAGUAAUGCACACUAGCUAAAUCAGUUUUUUUUGACACCUGAAUGUCUAGUAUGUGUUUCAUCCAUUCAAUUUGGUGAAUGAUUACAUUGUAAAUUAU